ACGCGCACUCAUGAUUCGUGAAACGUGUCUCCGUCGAAGCCGCAUGCGUGGGAACGCAUGGCUGUGGGGGCCCACCCACCGCUCGCCAGCGCACCUGCCUUAUCACCUCUCAUUCUUUUCUCGUCCAUCCACAAAUCUACAAGACAAAGCCGCCAUUUUUGCCCCCAAAGCUCAUACCGUCAAGAACAACCCACCUCACACGCUAGCCAUGGUUGUACAUCGCCGUGCUUAGACUCCAUGUAGCGCUCGCCCACCCUGUCUGUCAAGGAUGGCGCCCCCUCCCCCCGAGCUCUCCCUUUUCUGAUCUGGCGUGAUGCUAGAACGGCGGGUGACUAGAAAUGUUGGGACCGUAUUCAACGUUUGCCGAAACCGGCUCGUGCUAGUCGAUGGUGGCGUGAGCUGGAGCCGCCGACACCAGAGUUUUUGCUACAACCAUGACGACUGUGGGAUGGAACCGAUCAACAGUAGAAGCUAGCACACAAUCGGCGGCGGCGCUGCAGUCCCGGUGGCCAUGAGACGAGGGACGGCAAGCUGACAACAGCGCCGGUCCCGCCGGGGCUGCCGACGCCGAUGAACGCAUUUCCCGCAUCUAGCGAAGGAGCAACCCGACAGAGGAGGCGUGGAGGCGUGGUCUGGUGGUGACUACGCACUUUUCAGGGAUGGGACCCGACAGAGGAGGCGUGGUCUGGUAGUGACUAUGCACUUUCUAGUGGUGGGAGAUUAGAGGACCGGAUCUGACGGUUAGGGAGAAAAGUAUCGAAUGGAGUAGGGUAUUACACCACAACGGUGGCCCGAACCAGUAUAAACCCUGUGUCUCUUGUGUUGUC